CUUGAAUAGUUUAUAUAAAAAUAUCAAUUUGUGGAGUUGAGGAGGUAGCGGAUACUUCAGGCAAU
rnacentral:tRNA from 1 species